ACGAAAACAAAAACACCAACACAAUAUUUCAAGGUAAACAUUGAUUCAAUAAGGUUUAUUUUUUAAAGUAUUUUAUAGAUUAAGCUGUUAUUUUGCAUUGACUUAUUACAACAGUGAUUGACAAGUGCUGCUCCGCGUUCUACCCGAGAAGACUGAACAAAAACCUCAUCAGGUCAUAUAAAAGGACUGAUUACAGAUGCAUGAAGUCUGGAGUCAUUCUGCUGACUAACAAGAAUCGUACCAUCUGUGUGGAUCCCAAUCUCAACUGGGUUAUGAACAUCAUGAAAAGUGUGGAUGAAAGAACCUUCUGAACCAGCUAGCGGCUUUUGGUCCUUUUUUUCAAACCACAUAUCAUAAAAAGCUAUUUGUUACAAUGUGGUUAUGAUUUUUGCAUUAAUGUAAAAAUCUGUUGUAACUAAUUCAUGAUUUUGAGGCCGAAUGGCACAUUAACCUCCUGUGUUUUUGCUUUGUAUUACCCACAAUAUCAUACAGUAUAAACUUCAUACAAAUACAGUCAGUAGUGUGAAAGCUUUGCCUUGUGUCUCCUCCUUUGCCAAAUAAAAACAUGCAAUACUCUCUAAA